GACGAACGCUGGCGGCGUGCUUAACACAUGCAAGUCGAGCGGAAAGGCCUCUUCGGGGAUUAGUGGCGAACGGGUGAGUAACACGUGAGUAACCUGCCCUGGACUCUGGGAUAACCCCGAGAAAUCGGAGCUAAUACCGGAUAGGACCCUGUACCGCAUGGUGUGGGGUGGAAAGUUUUUUCGGUCUGGGAUGGCCUCGCGGCCUAUCAGCUUGUUGGCGAGGUAAUGGCUCACCAAGGCGUCGACGGGUAGCCGGCCUGAGAGGGUGACCGGCCACACUGGGACUGAGACACGGCCCAGACUCCUACGGGAGGCAGCAGUGGGGAAUAUUGCACAAUGGGCGCAAGCCUGAUGCAGCAACGCCGCGUGCGGGAUGACGGCCUUCGGGUUGUAAACCGCUUUUAGUAAGGAAGAAGGGGAGCUUGCUCCUUGACGGUACUUGCAGAAAAAGGACCGGCUAACUACGUGCCAGCCGCCGCCGUAACAC
rnacentral:rRNA from 1 species